UACGGGGGGGGCAAGCGUUGUUCGGAAUUACUGGGCGUAAAGGGCUCGUAGGCGGCCAACUAAGUCAGACGUGAAAUCCCUCGGCUUAACCGGGGAACUGCGUCUGAUACUGGAUGGCUUGAGUUUGGGAGAGGGAUGCGGAAUUCCAGGUGUAGCGGUGAAAUGCGUAGAUAUCUGGAGGAACACCCGUGGCGAAGGCGGCUCUCUGGGACGGUACUGACGCUGAGACGCGAAAGCGUGGGGAGCAAACAGG
rnacentral:rRNA from 1 species